UCGCUAAUUCAGCAGGGCCGGGCCGUCCCCGCGGGGCGCAGAGACGACGCGGCCGGCCCCGGCGCCCGGGCCCCCGUCACCCCCGCGCCUCCGCCCUCCACCCGCAGCGCGGCCGCCCGGGCUCCGGGCUCCCGCCUCCGCCUUUGCCUUCGGGCCCGUCCGGCUCCUCCCGGCGGCGGCGCUCGAAGAGCCGAAGACCCGGCCUGGAGACCUGAGCUGCAACUUCCCGAAGACGCUCGCAGGGGCCCCUGGAAAGGCCGGUCCCCCCAGGGCGUGGCACCUGCCGGGCUGCGGGGGGGGAGCGAGGGGGGCACAGCGACCUGCUGGGUGGGGGUGGCCGUGCUGGGCGGUGGCUCCUCGCGAGGACUCUGCAGGGGCGCAGCCUGGAGGGCCCGCCGGCCUUGGGUUCCCCGUCAGGGGAGGGGAGGGGCGCUGGGGGACAGCGGCAGAAGCAAAGGCCCUGGGGCCGGGGCCCUGGCUGGCUUAGGUUGUCUCUGCCGUUCUGCGUGGAGCCUGGCCCGGGCGGGGGUGGGGGGCGCGGAAUUCCGGCUCUGACUUGUGCUGGGGUUAGGUUGGUGACGGCAGCGGGGCCAGGGUGGUCUUCUCGGGCCGGGAGAGGGCUGGCAGGCACGUGGGCCGUGCUGCAGGCUCCUCCCGGGUUCCUGGGUUAGCGGCUGGGGCGGGCAGGGAGGCCGCUGAAACUGCUCAGCGGCAGGUGGCAGAGACCCCUGCUGGCCGUGGGGAUCGGGAGGGGGGCUGCUGCUGGGUAGACCCCCGGAGGCUCAGGCUUCGGGGCCUGCGGACCCUCGGGUCUCAUAACCCAGUCCUAGAUCUCUCCUAUGUGUAACCCCGGGCACCCCGAAUCCAGUCUGCUGAGGGUCCUUAUAGUCACAGAGUGGCUCCACGCAGGCCUUCAGGCCCUCAGAUUCGGGACCCACAGCAAUCCGUGGAGCCUUCCCAGUAUCCUCCACCUGCCUCUUCCUGGGAUGGGAACGGACAAUUUCUCAAGCGCGUUUCCACCUUCCACGGGCUAGAAGGGAAUGUGGUGUAUCCUGCUCGGUCCCGGCACCCCAGCUCCUUGAGUUCUGGCCCUCGAAAGGCAGGAGAGUGUCGAGCAGUGUGUGUAGGAUGACUCCGCCCGGUUCUCCCCUGGGAGAGCUGAGGGCAGCUUGGGGGCCCUGCCACAGAAGGUGUCCAGCUUGUUGGAAAAGGUGAAUUUGUUGCUGAAGCCAGAGUUUGCAAUCGUGAUGUUCCUGUCAGCUUCCAAGAGCAGGUUUUCUGCCUUCAAGUCUCCGCACACAGCCGGCCUCCGGUGACAGUUUGCACAGCAGUCACCACCUGGUGGAACUUGCCUCUUCCCUUUCCUGCUGCCACGAGCCACUAGGUGCUCCAAGCGCCUCCGCCAGCGCCUGCUGAGCAAGGCCAGGAGUGUCCUCAGCGUCGGGCCCCCCUGGUAUUUCGCUGUGUUGGGGGGAGCCUCUCCUCCACCAUUCCUGCUUGGCGGGGGGAGUCUCUGCAAGGUGGAGACCUGCUGCAUCUCAUCGGUGAUCCUCACCGCCCGCCGUCGCUUUCCCAGUCAGGCGCUGGGCCAAGCUCCCCACAGCUGACUUCUGCUUGCCAGUGGCCUGCGGGGGACGGUGGCACCACGAGCCUCUCCUCAGCAGAAGGCGGCUGGCAGGCCCGGCAGCCUGUGGGCCUUACUGCUGUGCGUGGGGUCAAGGUGUCCCAAGGUCGGCUCACAUUUGGGAAAAGCUGGUGAGAGCCUUGGUCCAAAUCGCCUCCAAAGAAAAUCAGCUCAAAUUUCACCUGAGGAACUGACCUUUGUAAUGGAAUCGAAACGCAACGCUAGACAAGAAUAAGGAAAGCAAAUAUCAACAAACUAAAAUAUAAUUGAGUAAACAAUAACAGUGAUAAAAGUAAAAAUAAAUUAGGAAAAAAAGGAUAGAAGGGGGAAAAA
rnacentral:lncRNA from 12 species